rnacentral:rRNA from 1 species
UUUUUAAUUGAGAUCUUGUAUGAAUGAUUGGACAAAAGAAAUUCUGUCUUUGCACUAGAGUUUGAAUUUAACUUUUAAGUGAAAAGGCUUAAAUAUUCUAAGGGGACGAUAAGACCCUAUAAAACUUUUAUAUUAAAUUAAAUUUUAUUGAAAUUUUUAUAAUAAUUAAAUUUAGUUUUUUUAUUUUAUUGGGGUGAUAAGAGUAUAGAUUAUAUUAACUGCUUUUAAUAUAAAACAAUAAUAAAUGAGUAAUUUAUUGAUCCUUUAUUAAGAUUAAGAGAUUAAGUUACUUUAGGGAUAACAGA